AUGACGUUGUCGAGGCUGGGACGGGCAGGCGAGGGCGGAGGGAGGAAGGGGACAUCGGGAAGGCGGCGCACCUUUAGCACCGGUCGUGCCCGAUCUCCGCCGUCUUGCCGUCGUUGCAGACAUAUUGGCUGCCGAUCCAGCGCCUCCGACCACUUCAUCGCCCCGUCAACACCAGGCCGGUCCUUCGAUGGGCAUGAAGACAGAUCAGGAGUGGAGAGUAAGAAGGAUUAA
rnacentral:rRNA from 1 species